GCUACCAGAGUUGCAAUGAUUUUGGAUGCCAAUGUGGAUGGUGAUUCAAGGUGGGAGCCUUUGCAAGGGGAUCUUAAGCACCUUCUGGAUGAUCCGAUUCUUCCAGUGACUACAAGGAUUUCACCUCCCUCAACUGAGGAGGACAAUAAUCAUGGCCAAAGGCAGGAUGGCUGGUGGGAAUGAAGACAGGUGAAAUGUAAACAACCAGAGCUGAAGUGGAAAGAGAACUCAAACAGGUGUCUUCUGACCCGCUGAGUACACAGCUGAAUACCAGAAGCAGCACAACACAAGUCGGUCCUGCUGGGUAGGAGCAGGGAAGAGAUGAAGAGUGAAGAAAUGCAGUCCUGUCUCUCCAAAAAGGAUUUGGACAUUGUGCAGU